CUGUUUACUGGAGCCGUUGGAAACACUGGCGUCUUUUAUUCUGUAGUUCAUGACAGCGUGUGAGCGUCUUUGAGAGUGAAGGAAUCUGUUCACCGAGUACUCCACAAAGACGAGAUUUAAACUGGCACAGAGGCAUUUCCAAGAGCAAAGGAUCUCAUCUUUCCCAACGCCGUUAAAUUACAUUUGACUCCUGUCGAAACAAACACCAUCAUGGGGAAGGGUGCGAGUGAAGAGUGGGAUGAAAAGCACCACGACACUGUGCAACAUCAGCCCAGGAAACAAGAGGACACAGAGAGUAGAAGCUCAAAGAGAGGCUGUCCCACUUGCUGUCUGAAGACCAGAGACUGCCUGAUGAGUGCGGAGUGUGGCAGAGCACUUCAGAUCUCCAGCGUCAUUUCCACGUGUGCGAUGUGUAUCCGGAUGUGGACGUAGCCAAGCUGGUGGGACUCUGGGACCGACUUCACUGCACUCCUGCUGUUUGGUUUUCUUCUAAUCACAGACGGAAAAAUUCUCAAUUUGAGUUGCCAAAUUUCUUUUCAAUCUUCAACUUUACAAGUUUUUCAAUUUUGAAGAAAACUAGCAAAUUAGUUUCUGAUUAAACAUGUAUAUGAAACCAACUUCACUGGCUAUAUUUAGAAAAGGAAGAGUUAUAUCUUAGUAGCCUGUAAUAUAUUGUAUUUUGGAUGUUUUCAAUAAUGUAAAUCAUUUUAACGUUAACAUUAAAGAAUAGAUGAAGGAAUUAAUAUAAUUUAUCCUAAACUCCCUCUUCUAAAUGUAAUUUAAACGUGUAAAUGUUACUUUAACUAGUUAAAGUACUUUUGCUAUCUACCGCCUUACACCUAUGCCUGUGCACACAAUAAUCAAACCAAUAAAAAUCAGAUUUAUAUAAUGUUGCUGUGUAAUUACAGGGCUGAUACUGUAUACAUGUAAACAGAGCUGGAAUAUCAUGUCCCUCCUGUCCUUAGCUAAAGACCCUACGUUUAACAAAACUUGGAUGAGAUUAUAAAAGACUGCUGAAUGUUAAUGUGACAAAGCAGAAAACCGGUGUUGAAAGUCCACAGACUCUGGGCACUAAAAUGAAACGAUGCUGAUGGUGCUCACAAAACUUUGUCAAAAACCAAACUUUGACAUCCACAAAAGAAAGCUCACAUUUACAAAAAAAGAGAGUUAUAGCCAGUUGCUGUCAAAACAAGCUAAGUCUGGCAAAGUCAGAGGAAAACUGCAUUGUUGUUCAUAAAAUUAUAAUUUAAGCCCUUUUUAAACAAUUUGAUCAGUUCAAAUGCAAACUUCCAUAAUAGUAUACUGUUUCAUAAGAGCCCAAGGUAUGUGCACCUUGCCCAUUUGUGAACACAAACCUUAGGUUGAACAUCUGAAAUGUUUAAGGCUGUAUAAACACGGAAAUCUAGAUGUCAAUUCCAAUUUUCAGAUUGUAAUUGUGUUACUAUGUCCACAUAUUAAUGUGGACAUAGCUCAUAAUAAUAUUGUACUCCGCAAACAUUUUAGACACACAAAGUCUUGUUUUAUCAAAGUUGGUAUGAAAAGUGAUAUUUACUUUCAACUAUAUUUACCAAACAAAUGGAAAAAAACAGGAACAUGGCUGUUUUAAAUCUAGGAUGGAAUUUUGAUUAAUACUGUAAAUAUUUGGAUGGGACAGGCUCCUUAAAAAGGUUCUGCAAAUUGUGUACUUCUACUUUGUCAACUUUUUUUUAUUUUAAUUUUUUGUCAACUUAUUAUCUAGAGAGCAUCUGAUACUGUUUUUUUCUGGAUGUCUUAAUUAAUUUUUUUUAAAAGCCCAUUUUUUAUAACUGCAGUAUACCUUUGGUUUCUGUCUUAAUAAAGAGUAUAAAAAAGGAAACAUGCAUUAUCAUUUAAACUUCAAUAAAACAAGACAAGGGGGUGCCAUAGACUUGCACAACUCUGUAUAUCAAAUACAUGGCAAUUUGAUGAGUAAGACCAUGCAUAUCAAAAUUCAGGCCGUUUUUGCCAAAGUACAUAUCUUUAGGGAUGGAUUUCUUAGCAGAUAUGCAGAACUUGGCAUGACACGGCUGUGAGGAAAAAGUCAAUCAGCAACGAUGGAAGAAAGAGACCAUCGGAAAGAUGU